CACGUAGGGGGCAAGCGUUGUCCGGAUUUAUUGGGCGUAAAGAGCUCGUAGGCGGCUUAGUAAGUCGGGUGUGAAACCUCCAGGCUCAACCUGGAGACGCCACCCGAUACUGCUGUGGCUAGAGUCCGGUAGGGGAGCGUGGAAUUCCUGGUGUAGCGGUGAAAUGCGCAGAUAUCAGGAGGAACACCAGCGGCGAAGGCGGCGCUCUGGGCCGGUACUGACGCUGAUGCACGAAAGCUAGGGGAGCAAACAGG
rnacentral:rRNA from 1 species